rnacentral:tmRNA from 1 species
GACGGGGUCAGGAAGUGCAGGGUGGCAUGCCGAGGUCUCAAGGGCUCGUUAAACACUUGAGAAAAUGAUAGCUGCCAACACAGAAUUGGCGCUCGCCGCCUAAAAAAUAGGCGACGCGUCCGGUGUGCCGUUGCCUGCGCGGCAUAUCGGGCGUCACAGCAGCAGGCUGGCCCUGCCCGCCGCCUGAACGGGCAGGGUGAGGAGUUUUCAGGCUAGUCAUUGCCGUAGCCGGCCUCUGGACAGCGGCAAGGGCGAAUGC